GAUGAACGCUGGCGGCGUGCCUAAUACAUGCCAGUCGAGCGAACAGACGAGGAGCUUGCUCCUCUGACGUUAGCGGCGGACGGGUGAGUAACACGUGGAUAACCUACCUAUAAGACUGGGAUAACUUCGGGAAACCGGAGCUAAUACCGGAUAAUAUAUUGAACCGCAUGGUUCAAUAGUGAAAGACGGUUUUGCUGUCACUUAUAGAUGGAUCCGCGCCGCAUUAGCUAGUUGGUAAGGUAACGGCCUACCAAGGCAACGAUGCGUAGCCGACCUGAGAGGGUGAUCGGCCACACUGGAACUGAGACACGGUCCAGACUCCUACGGGAGGCAGCAGUAGGGAAUCUUCCGCAAUGGGCGAAAGCUUGACGGAGCAACGCCGCGUGAGUGAUGAAGGUCUUCGGAUCGUAAAACUCUGUUAUUAGGGAAGAACAAAUGUGUAAGUAACUAUGCACGUCUUGACGGUACCUAAUCAGAAAGCCACGGCUAACUACGUG
rnacentral:rRNA from 1 species